GAGGGAGGGGGCGACGGGCCGGCCUCUCCGGGGACCAGGCGAGAGCAGGCUCCCGCUGCAGCAGGGCUGCAGAGAUGGGGUCCCCUCUGAUAAUUCUGUAAUCAUCCUCUGUUGAAAAUAAAGGUCUACAAAGUGUCCGUUACCCUGGAGCUGUACAAGUCACACACAGCUCCAUUGGAGAGAAAACUGGAUGGAACCAUUUGACUGAAAAUCCAUGUCAAAAGGCCAACAAGAAAGAGCUGAGACACUGCAGAAAGAGCAGGAAUAAAUAAGAGGUGAAGACAGACAGAGACCAGACAAGGAGGACUCAAUUACAGACUGACAGAAGACUCAAGGAAGAAAAUGAAGCUGGACCUGUGAAGAACUGUCGAAACAGCUGUAGAGGAAUUGUGGUGGAGGCAGUAAUGGCUCCUUUAGUAGCAGAGAAUAGAAAGAUCUCGAAAAUAAAGCCUAUUGUCAGGAGACUUGCACCCAUCCUGGCCUACUUCCAAGUAGAAACAAAAACAGAAACGAAGAUAUCCAUGAUACCUAAUGUUACAAGGAGAAGAAAGCACUUGUAAUCACAAGGGUACUGAGAAAAGGUAACAGACACAUUUAUAUAUGUGGAACCAGGAAUCUUUCUGAUGACUUUCAGAAAGGGUGGACAUACAAAUAAAAAUCAACCUUCUUCUUGGUGAGGAUUUGACCCUGGUUCCAUAUUAACCCAAGAGCUGAUAAGCACAAACCUGGAGUCCAGUUUUUAUGCAAAUAUAACAACUCUGCUUAUACCUUGAAUUACUUGUAUGAAGCGGGGAAAAUUUUUUACUCUCUCUGAACCCAUAAUUAAAAAAAAUCUGUAUGACUUGGAUAA
rnacentral:lncRNA from 1 species